UAAGGGUCAAAAAAAUAUUUUACGAAUUCAUCUGGUCUUAUUUGGGACAGACUAUUGGUUCAUAGUCUCUAUGAUUUUAUUAUAUAACUCACAUAUUAUACUACCUUGCUAAAUUGAAAGGUAAUAACCGACAUUUUUUCAAAAAUCAGAUUAUUGUUUAUUGGAUAAUUUUAAAUAGAUACAAUUAGGUUAAAAGACUGUUAAAUGUCAAUUAAGUAGAUUAUUAAAAUGAGCUUUGAAAAUGUAUCUACCUAUAAAUCACUGAAUACUAGAUAAAUAAUAAAUAAUUGAUACAUCCAAGAAAAUACAGUAUAUACUAUAUCAUAGUUAAUGCUUGUAUGGUUAGUAAAUUUAUUAUAGGGUACCUAUAUAUACCAUGUAUUUAUUUAGUAAACCUAGAUUAACCAAUCUACAUAUUUCAAGGAGUUAUUUUUA